rnacentral:rRNA from 1 species
UAAUAAGCGGAGGAAAAGAAACUAACAAGGAUUCCCCUAGUAACUGCGAGUGAAGCGGGAAAAGCUCAAAUUUGAAAUCUGGCAGUCUAUUUUUUCUUCUUUGGCUGUCCGAGUUGUAAUCUAGAGAAGUGCUUACCUGCACUGGACCAUGUAUAAGUCUCCUGGAAUGGAGCGUCACAGAGGGUGAGAAUCCCGUCUUUGACAUGGACCGCCAGUGUGUUGUGGUGUGCUCUCAAAGAGUCGAGUUGUUUGGGAAUGCAGCUCUAAAUGGGUGGUAAACUCCAUCUAAAGCUAAAUAUUGGCGAGAGACCGAUAGCGAACAAGUACCGUGAGGGAAAGAUGAAAAGGACUUUGGAAAGAGAGUUAAACAGUAUGUGAAAUUGUUGAAAGGGAAACGCUUGAAGUCAGUUAUGUCGGCUAGGGAUCAACCUAGCUCUUUUGCUGGGUGAAUUUCCUAUUCUGACAGGCCAACAUCAGUUUUGACUGCUGGAAAAGAGCAGGGGGAAUGUGGCACCUUCGGGUGUGUUAUAGCCCUUUGUCAUAUGUGGCAGUCGGGACUGAGGGAUGCAGCGUGCCGCGAGGCUGGGUUUCGACCACGUUCACGCUUAGGAUGUUGGCUUUUAAUGGCUUCAAUCGACCCGUCUUGAAACACGGACCAAGGAGUCUAACAUGCCUGCGAGUGUUUGGGUGGAAAACCCUUGCGCGCAAUGAAAGUGAAAGUUGAGAUCCCUGUCAUGGGGAGCAUCGACGCCCGGACUUGAGCUUUUAGCGACGGAUCCGCGGUAGAGCAUGCAUGUUGGGACCCGAAAGAUGGUGAACUAUGCCUGAAUAGGGCAAAGCCAGAGGAAACUCUGGUGGAGGCUCGUAGCGAUUCUGACGUGCAAAUCGAUCGUCAAAUUUGGGUAUAGGGGCGAAAGACUAAUCGAACCAUCUAGUAGCUGGUUCCUGCCGAA